AAUGAAUAAAUAAAAAUCUUUAAAAAAAAACAAAAAACAAAAAAACUCCGUGUAACUUUUAACUCCUAAAAGGCUAUUGUUGACCAAAAGCCUUACUGAUAAUGUAAAUAGUGAUUACCACAUACUUGUAUAUGCGUCAUGUAGUAUAUGUUUGCAGUGAAGCAGGCUAGAGAAAAGAUUUUAUUAAGAAAGUCAUAAGGAGGAGGAACUACAUGGAAAGCAUUGGACCGUGUUACAAAAAAGGCCACGUGUAAGUGGACCCGUGCAAUUCGAACACAGCUUGAUCAAGGGUUAGAAGAGUUUUGUUAAUCCUUAUUAAUGUACCAGGUUCCGAACCUGGUGUAUGAGAUAAAGAGGCAGCGUGAGGCACACAGAAGUUACACUGACCGGGUCGUGCAGCGAAGAAGUGGCAUGUCUAGUCCCGUAUUCAUCGUUUCGUCUCUUUGCUGAGGCCGUCCUCUGUGCUGAAAGAAAAUUCAUACAAACCUGGGCAUGUUCAUGAGCAGAUUACUGCCCCGUACUAUAUAAUGCAUUAGUUCCUGUAGACAUCAGAGUCUUUCCGUGUGGGUUCUUGAGUUCAUUAGCAGGGAAACUCAUUUAAAAAAUAGUAAGUUCCUGGUUUGAAAAGUAAACACUGCAGAGAAUGAUAGCAAUUAUCGAAUGUAAACAGUGUGGCCUUUGAGAGCCUCUGUGAAAUCAUUUAGUGAAUUAAAUGAUUAUGCUUUCGGUGUUCAUAUAUAUUUGUACUUUCAUUGACUGUUAAGGAAAGUGCUUCAAGGAGGACAGAUGAGAUACAGGUGAAGUUUAUUUUUAAGUCAGUAAUGUUCUUAAGUAAAGCAAAACACAACGACAGCUAACAGAUACACAGUGACUUGGAAUCUGGCUUCUGUUUUGAGACACUGUCUUUAAAAUGACCGGUGCCACAAAUUUAAACCCAUUCGUAAGCAGUGGAGCUGGAGGGUGUUGGAAUAUUCCAGAAUAAAGUGAGAAACCAGUAACUUCAGGAAAAUUUCGUCAUUGAAAUAGUGUGUAGUCUGCUGGAGUUUGAGGGAGAAAGUGAAUUCGGCAGGACGGAGAAGGAAGGUUAGAAGAUACGGGAAGAAACGGGGGCCUGGACUUUCCUAGGAUCCUGGGGAAGUGAGGUUUUCCUCAGAAGGGCACCAGUGUACUCACCGUCGCCUGCCCGCCGUGUGACAGGUCUCUUCAUACAUCGGUGGCCACCUCCGCGACAGCCUUGCCGAGUCUGCAGCCUCGGUUAAUUGGCUUGCUUGGGGUUUACAGUCAGUAGCCAACAGAGCCAAGUUGCAAACCCAGAUCUGUCUGACUCCAUCCCUUAAUGUCAUUUCUUCUGACCUCCUUCCUCAGGACUGGAUUCCCAGAGAUUCCUCCAUCGAGAUUACGCAUGGAGAAGAGCUGUCAGUCCAGCCUGAGGCCGUAGUCAUCGUGUGAAUAGGUUUCUUCCCCGUUUCACCUGCUUUCUCUUUCCAGUUUGCACAAGGUCUUUGCUCUGUGGGUUUCGUGUGUCCCCUUCAGCGUUAGCCCUGCGAGCAGUGUCCGUUUGAUUUUGCUGUGGAACGUGCAGAGACUUUAGACGGGGGCGAAAACGAUCCCAGCACUCCUGCACGAGCAGUAGUCCCCACCCCGCUGCGACAUUAAGUUCGGUCUGUCUUCGGCAGUAUGUGCCCCGGCCCUUGGCCCUGGCACUCCGGGGGAUUCUGAAAGGGAGAAUUUGAGAACAACAUUCCAGGCUUCGAGGCUCCACAUUCCUUGGGUUCUGUUGGAGGACUUCUUGGCAGCAUUCAAAGAAGCCUGUGUUUUCCUAUUAAUUUUCCAUCCCAGGCCACCUGCUUCCGCCUUCCUGCUGUUUUCCUUUUGUACCUACGUGGUUGGUGCUCCUAAGGCUUUCCGCACCGGCUUUCAUCAUUUAUACCACCGAGUUUUACAGGAGCUUUUCUUUUCAGAUUUUGAUGUUUGACACAGUUACAGAUUUUUAUUUAUUUAUUUUUAAUAUGUUCACUUCUGAACCUUUUUAGACUUUAUGGUGACGGCCUCCAGGAGAGCGAGAGAGAAAAAAAAAAAGAAGACCAGGCACAUUUUGUGUAGAGUCAGGAGGCAGAGGGCAGAGGGCGUACGGUUGAUGGGAACAAGUUAUUGAUUUCUCAGGAUGCAGAUCCUAACUGUGGGUAAAUUUAGAGUUGACCUAUUUGGGGGGGGUGGUUCUGUAACGUCAGAAGUUGAUUCUGGAGAAGACGCUGACUUGGAUGUGGCUGGGAUGAGCCCCUGUGAAGGAAUAGUGGAUUUUCGCUCUCUAGCCUCGUUUGUGGAGAGAAAGCAAGCCGCCCGGGUUUCCUGCAGCAGGAAGCCUGCAAAUCAAAGCCUUUGAACCAGGAGCAACCCGGGAAUGCCCUGUGUCCCACGCAAGUGAGAUUGGUGGCAACUCUGUUGCCCCUGCCCGUGGUUAACCCUAGUGGGUUUCCAGAUCUCUCUGUGCCUCAGGCUCUCUUUUUGAUGC